CCUACGGGAGGCAGCAGUGGGGAAUCUUGCGCAAUGGGCGAAAGCCUGACGCAGCAACGCCGCGUGCGGGAAGAAGGCUUUCGGGCUGUAAACCGCUUUCAGCAGGAACGAAAAUGACGGUACCUGCAGAAGAAGGAGCGGCCAACUAUGUGCCAGCAGCCGCGGUGAUACAUAGGCUUCAAGCGUUGUCCGGAUUUAUUGGGCGUAAAGAGUUCGUAGGCGGUCGAGUAAGUCGGGUGUGAAAAUUCUGGGCUCAACCCAGAGACGCCACCCGAUACUGCUUAACUUGAGUUCGAUAGGGGAGUGGGGAAUUCCUAGUGUAGCGGUGAAAUGCGCAGAUAUUAGGAGGAACACCGGUGGCGAAGGCGCCACUCUGGAUCGAUACUGACGCUGAGGAACGAAAGCAUGGGUAGCAAACAGGAUUAGAUACCCUGGUAGUCCAUGCCGUAAACGGUGGGCACUAGGUGUGGGAUUCUAUUAACGAAUUCCGCGCCGUCGCUAACGCAUUAAGUGCCCCGCCUGGGGAGUACGGUCGCAAGACUAAAACUUAAAGGAAUUGACGG
rnacentral:rRNA from 1 species